rnacentral:lncRNA from 1 species
AUAAAGUAGUACUCAGUUGCUAGCUAGCUGCAACAAAAAAUUCAUUUGAGAUUAGGCUGGCGCAUUAAAUGGAAUCAUUUGGUCCGAUUGGUAGCCGUGGUGGAGCCAUAACUCGGCCUGCAAAGGCCUUCUGGUUGGUGCAAGGCGGGCCAUUACUUCCAGGAAUGUUGGUGCAGCCAUUGUGUUCAGAAGGAGGGGUAGGUUCUCCCUUUUGGACAGACUGUAGGACAAGAUCAUACCCAUUUAGAACACGGCCGGAAGCCUCGUAUAGAUGAGUGCUUACAAGAAAAAUAACAGCUGCGGUGACAAGAAAAUGUAGAUUGCUCAUUUUGAUGUAUAUGGUGUCUAGCCCUGAAGUUUGAGGAAAUUAGAUUGUAAGGUAGGCCUAUUUAUAUGUGUUUAUCACAACUUGAAUGACUAGAAUACAUGGCUCUUGACUCAUGACCUGAAGAAAACCAUGGCUUACAAAUUGAAUCA